CCUACGUGUGGCAGCAGUGAGGAAUAUUGGUCAAUGGGCGCGAGCCUGAACCAGCCAAGUAGCGUGAAGGAUGACUGCCCUACGGGUUGUAAACUUCUUUUAUAAAGGAAUAAAGUAAGUCACGUGUCCCUUUUUGCAUGUACUUUUUGAAUAAGGAUCGGCUAACUCCGUGCCAGCAGCCGCGGUAAUACGGAGGAUCCGGACGUUAUCCGGAUUUAUUGGGUUUAAAGGGAGCGUAGAUGGGUUGUUAAGUCAGUUGGGAAACUUGGCAGAUGAACCGUAAAAUUGCAAUUGAUACUGGCAGUCUUGAGUACGGUUGAGGUAGGCGGAAUUCGUGGUGUAGCGGUGAAAUGCGUAGAGAUCACGAAGAACUCCGAUUGCGAAGGCAGCUUACUAAACUGCCACUGACGUUGAUGCUCGAAAGUGUGGGUAUCAAACAGGAUUAGAUACCCGAGUAGUC
rnacentral:rRNA from 1 species